UGCCAGGGAGGGUGACAAUGAGCACUGGAGAGGGGUUUCUUCCCCUUGUUGGUGUCUCUUCCCCCUCUUGCUGCUAUGGCAGAUUCUGGACAGUGUGCAGCCUGUGAGGUAAUCUGAAUUCCUUGGCAACCGGCAAGUACCUGAAUUCUUUCAAAACCACAGGAAUCCAGCAGAGAAAAGACCAUUUGUGAACAACAGUGGCCCUAGGACCUUCAUGCCAAUUGCCAUUGCAUGAAAAUACAAUGUGACCCUGGAUCCCUGCUGGGAAAGGAAGGCUUUCAUCAAGUUGCUCAGAGAACUUACAGAUCUUUCCACAAUGGAUCCUGGCAUUUUCCCUGUGAAAUGGGAUGGAUAUUUCACUGACUCACUCCAUAGUGCUUGCUAUGCCACUGCAGAAGUAAAAUGCAGUCAUCACUGUGCUCAAUGGCAGACCUGAUUCUCAUGGUAUGUAAGCAGUGACC